GAGGAGCCGAGCAGCGCGUGGGGGUUCACUGCAUGGCUCCCUCCGUGUCCUUGGCCCUGCCAGCCACCAGCCAGCACGGCGAUGCCCACCCGGUGUUGGACUUACGGGGCAACAAGCGCAAGUCAACGUCGCCGUCGGCUCCGGAGGAGCAGUCCCGGAGGCAGCAGAAGAAGCGCCAGUUGCCAUCGUCCGUGCAGCCGUACGAACACGGGUUCCCCGUCUCUGGAGUUGAAAACCGAGGGGUUCUGAGCAAACUGCUGGACAACUUGUCUUUGGAUGCACCAUGGAAAUAAAAAUCAAACCCCCCCACAAAAGUAACAAAGCAAAUUAACUGAUGGUGUUCAUGCAAGUUUCUCCAAAGACUUGACAGUGCUGCAUCUGUGAGUCAUGCCCUCCUGUGCUCUGUGUGUCCACCUCAUGCACUACCCUGUGACACUGAUUGUAUGACCAGCUUGCCCAGAUGUCCGUUGCGUCCCUGUGAGGCUGUCAGUUUUCCUGUGGAUCUGGGGAAUGCACCUAGCAAGGGCUUUCCUUGUCAAGAGUAGCAAGUGUUGAGACCUGCGGGCGCGUGUGGGAGGUGGGAAUGUGAGCAGACCCUCCAGAGCCCUGCGGCCACCCCAGCCCUUCCUGUGGGGUCAGGGUAGUGGGGCUCAUCCAAGGGACCCUCCCACAUCAUCUCUGAAUGGGGCCUGUGCUGGGACAAGGUGUGAAGAUGUGGCUGGGUGCAGUCAGCACUGUGGUCUGGAUGUGGUACUGGUGACUGCACACCUCUCUGCUCCUUGCCUCUCCAGGAGAGCGCCCAGGGCUUCCAGAGCACGCCCUGGCACGUCCCUGUGCUGCCACCUGAUGUUCUCCAGUGGUCCCCCAGCACAGCCUGAGCCCUGUGGCUAUAGGAGCUGAGGGUGACUGGCAUUCUGCUGCCACAGGGUGCAGACUGUGCUCCGGGCUGGCUGUUAACCCAGCACCAGGGUGAGGUGUGAGGGCUGUCCCACCUCCUGUGUGUCCAUGGCUUGUACACCCCUUGGCACCCUCCUGUGGUGGGGCUGUCCUGCACAUGACCUGCUGCUGGCAAACAUCUGCAGCCCCAGCAGCUGCAGCACAGGGACCCUGCACAACAAGGGCUCAAGUGCAACCCCAGCUCUGCCCCAUCCACCAGCCCUGGGCCCCCCUUUAGUGAGGGGGUGGGCCCUGGCGGAGCCUCGGCUGAGGUGUCACAGGGAUGGCCGUGCUGCCCACAGGGCUCCCAUGGGAGUUCCCAUGUGUGGCUGGGGCUGCUCCAAGGCAGCCAGAGGCACCUGCUCUGCCACGGUGCCAUGGGAAGGAUUUCCUCUGCCCCACAGAAGCCACAGGAGGGUGUGGGUUAUCCCCAGUGCGGGAGCUCUCUAAAUUCUUAAACUCCCCUCCUGUGGGGCCUGCUCUUCUCCCUCAUCUGCUCUCCCCAGAGGUUUCUCCUCCCCAGCAUGUGAUUCUGCUGCAGAGGGUCCUCUCUUGGUUUUCCUGAGCCUGGAACAGGGGCUUUCCCUGUACGGGUUAAAUUUUUCUUAUGCUGCUGAAUUUCUGUCUCCAAAUGACCCGAUGGGAAGCAGCUGCUGGUUCUCAGAGGGGCUGUGGAUGACACUGAGGACAGCAGUGCAGGACUCUCUGCAGAGAGUUUUGGACAACAAGGAAGAUUUCUGAGCACAGCCCAAGGCCAGGGCAGAUCUGUGGGGGCCUCAGGAAUGGUCAGCUGCCCUGUGCACUGGCACCCAGCCCUCAGCCCUUGCCUUUGGUGUGAGGUUUGCUCUCCUGGGGACAGUCGGGUGAAGGCUGGGAACCACUGUGGGACAGUCCCCAUGACACGGGCCUUGGUGGCCUUGUUGUCCCCACUGCUGAUGUGGCUCUUGGGGCUUCCUGGGGGGCUGUAGGGUGGGGGCAACACAGCCCAGCCUGGCCCAUGUUGGGCAGGAUCUGCUGCAUGUUGUCCUGGAGUGUCUGGGCGGGUGGGGAGGUUGGGUGCAGCUACUUGGAGAAAGCAAAUAUUCUGGCAAGCAAAGGGUGGGAUUUCCACAGGAUCUCCACUAGAAAUUAUGUAUAUUUUAACUUAAUGAUGUCAGUGAAUCAUAGAAUGGUUUGGGCUGUCUUGUUCCAGCCCCCCUGCCAUGGCAGGGACACCUUCCAGUAGACCAGGUUGCUCCAAGCCCUGUCCAGCCUGGCCUUGGGCAUUUCCAGAGAUGGGGCAGCCACAGCUUCUCUGGGAAACAAAUUCAAGAGGCUGAAUGUGCAAGAAUUGCUGCUGGUUUGGGGGUGGCUACCAGGCCAACAGGGACAAGUACAGCAAAUACCUUCACAGCUGGUAUUUCUCGCCACUCUGGAAUAAAUUCUGUUGAUCCAGUCUUGGAAGAACCGGGGGUGGGGGAGGGCUGGGGCAGGGGGCAGAGGUUAAACAGGGACCAUAGUCCAGCUAGAUUACAGUGAGGGAUGGCUCCUUGCAUCUUGGAGCAAGCGCUCCCUGCGAAGGGGUGAUGGGGCAAGUGAGGGAGAGCAACCUCUGCCACCUCCCCAACCACCACCACUGCCUUGGCAGCUUCGUGGUACCUGGAGCUGGAGUCUGGCAGAUCCAUGGGAGCCUGAAGGAAUCCAUCACUGAGUCUCAUUUGGGGUUUUCUGUUGGUUUGGGUUUCUUUUUCUUUCUUUUUUUUUUUUUUUUUUUUUUUUUUUUUUUUUUUUUUUUUUUUUUUUACUACCGCCUUAGUUUGUGGCCUGUCUUGUUGUGGUUGGAAAGAGGAGUGUUGCUAGCAGGGUGGGUCGGUCAGUUGGCCCCACGCAUGAUCAUGUGCUUCCCUCUUCUCUCUGUCGAACGGGAUGUGCUCGCCUGAUCUCCCAGAACAGAGACUUUGAACAAUUUGUUGUUUAUAUGAUGUAUUUAUUUUUACUUGUGUUUCAUGUCAUUUUUUAAAAAAAUAAUAAACUGUAAGUUGGUA